UCUGGAGGAAGGAUGACCGCCCCGAAUAAAAUCGGGGAGGAAAGUCCAGGCAGCAGAAAGCAGGGUGUCCCGCGCAAGCGGGAACGCGAAAGCGCUAGUCAGAGCCACAGAGACUAUGUCGACUCAUCUACCCUAAAGGUAGACGAGAACGAGUGAAAAGGGGCAAUCCUCCCCGCUGCAACCUCCGAACGGGUCGUUAUCAGGAUGCUUUCCCGAGACCCAAAGUUUGAGGGCAUUAGACAGAUGGUCAUCUGAAACAGAACCUGGCUUACUACCCUCCAGAGGUC
rnacentral:RNase_P_RNA from 3 species